UACGAAGGGGGCUAGCGUUGUUCGGAAUUACUGGGCGUAAAGGGCGCGUAGGCGGUACUUCAAGUCAGGCGUGAAAGCCCCGGGCUCAACCUGGGAACCGCGCUUGAGACUGGAGAACUAGAGUUCGGGAGAGGAUGGUGGAGUUCCCAGUGUAGAGGUGAAAUUCGUAGAUAUUGGGAAGAACACCGAUGGCGAAGGCAGCCAUCUGGACCGACACUGACGCUGAGGCGCGAAAGCGUGGGGAGCAAACAGG
rnacentral:rRNA from 1 species